GCAGCCGCGGUAAUACGUAGGUGGCGAGCGUUAUCCGGAAUCAUUGGGCGUAAAGGGUGCGUAGGUGGCAGAAUAAGUCUGAAGUAAAAGGCUGCAGCUCAACUGCAGUAUGCUUUGGAAACUGUUCAGCUAGAGUGCGGAAGAGGGCGAUGGAAUUCCAUGUGUAGCGGUAAAAUGCGUAGAUAUAUGGAGGAACACCAGUGGCGAAGGCGGUCGCCUGGUCCGUAACUGACACUGAGGCACGAAAGCGUGGGGAGCAAAUAGGAUUAGAUACCCC
rnacentral:rRNA from 1 species